UACGGAGAGGGCUAGCGUUAUUCGGAAUUAUUGGGCGUAAAGGGCGCGUAGGCGGAUUAGUAAGUUAAAAGUGAAAUCCCAAGGCUCAACCUUGGAAUUGCUUUUAAAACUGCUAAUCUAGAGAUUGAAAGAGGAUAGAGGAAUUCCUAGUGUAGAGGUGAAAUUCGUAAAUAUUAGGAGGAACACCAGUGGCGAAGGCGUCUAUCUGGUUCAAAUCUGACGCUGAGGCGCGAAGGCGUGGGGAGCAAAC
rnacentral:rRNA from 1 species